rnacentral:rRNA from 1 species
UACGUAGGGUGCGAGCGUUAAUCGGAAUUACUGGGCGUAAAGCGUGCGCAGGCGGUUUUGUAAGCCAGAUGUGAAAUCCCCGGGCUUAACCUGGGAAUGGCAUUUGGGACUGCAAGGCUGGAGUGCGGCAGAGGAGACUGGAAUUCCUGGUGUAGCGGUGAAAUGCGCAGAUAUCAGGAAGAACACCCGUGGCGAAGGCGGCUCUCUGGGACGGUACUGACGCUGAGACGCGAAAGCGUGGGGAGCGAACAGG